rnacentral:lncRNA from 1 species
CUUGCAAUUUAAAUUUGGCUAUAUUGCUCUACUUGGAACCAUUCCAGCAAAUUGCACCAUUAUUUAGGAUAAGGAUGUAUUCCAACACGUUCUUACUAUUAUUAUGUUCAACUGAAAACUUGAGUCAUACUCCACAUGUUUUAAGUCAAAUUCUCCAUAACCGAGUCACCGAUCCUUAGUAUUUCUUAAAUACUUAAGGAUGACCUUCCAGUGAUUCUUACCCAGAUCUUGCAAGUAUCCACUCACUGUCCUAGUAAGUAUACCAUAUCCGAUCUCAAACAUGGUGUAAUAAUAGAACAAAUUCUACUCAUAACACCCUAGGUAUGUUGGACUAGAAAACUUAAGCAGCCUCUUAGAUAUAUCUCUAUAGAUCUUCAUUCUUAGGAUGAGAGAUGCUUUUCUCAAAGUCCUUUAUGGAGAACAACAAUAACAGAAAAAUAUUUAUUUUUUGUAAUGUAAAGAAUGUCAUUCCUGAUUAAGAGAAUUUCAUUCAUAUACAAAAUAAAAGAUACACUUAUAGAACUAUUAACCCAUUUGUAUUUGCAGGAUUCUUCUUCAUUCUCAAUGAAGCC